UACCAGCGUGGAUAUGAAAGUGUGUGUGUGU
rnacentral:piRNA from 1 species